rnacentral:rRNA from 1 species
AUUGAACGCUGGCGGCAUGCCUUACACAUGCAAGUCGAACGGUAACGGGCCUUCGGGUGCCGACGAGUGGCGAACGGGUGCGUAAUACAUCGGAACGUGCCCGAUCGUGGGGGAUAACGAGGCGAAAGCUUUGCUAAUACCGCAUACGAUCUACGGAUGAAAGCAGGGGACCGCAAGGCCUUGCGCGGACGGAGCGGCCGCUGGCAGAUUAGGUAGUUGGUGGGGUAAAAGCUUACCAAGCCGACGAUCUGUAGCUGGUCUGAGAGGAUGAUCAGCCACACUGGGACUGAGACACGGCCCAGACUCCUACGGGAGGCAGCAGUGGGGAAUUUUGGACAAUGGGCGCAAGCCUGAUCCAGCCAUGCCGCGUGCAGGAUGAAGGCCUUCGGGUUGUAAACUGCUUUUGUACGGAACGAAAAGCCUUCUUUUAAUACAGGAGGGUCAUGACGGUACCGUAAGAAUAAGCACCGGCUAACUACGUG